UCCUACGGGAGGCAGCAGUGAGGAAUAUUGCGCAAUGGAGGCAACUCUGACGCAGCCAUGCCGCGUGCAGGAAGACGGCCCUACGGGUUGUAAACUGCUUUUAUCCGGGAAGAAACCCCAGGACGUGUCCUGGGUUGACGGUACCGGAGGAAUAAGCACCGGCUAACUCCGUGC
rnacentral:rRNA from 1 species